UACGGAGGGUGCAAGCGUUAUCCGGAUUCACUGGGUUUAAAGGGAGCGUAGGAGGGCAGGUAAGUCAGUGGUGAAAUCCCCGUGCUUAACAUGGGAACUGCCGUUGAUACUAUCUGUCUUGAAUAUUGUGGAGGUGAGCGGAAUAUGUCAUGUAGCGGUGAAAUGCUUAGAUAUGACAUAGAACACCAAUUGCGAAGGCAGCUCGCUACACAUAUAUUGACGCUGAGGCACGAAAGCGUGGGGAUCAAACAGG
rnacentral:rRNA from 1 species